rnacentral:rRNA from 1 species
GGGGAGUACGACCGCAAGGUUGAAACUCAAAGGAAUUGACGGGGGCCCGCACAAGCGGUGGAGCAUGUGGUUUAAUUCGAAGCAACGCGAAGAACCUUACCAGGUCUUGACAUCCCGAUGCUAUUCUUAGAGAUAGGAAGUUACUUCGGUACAUCGGAGACAGGUGGUGCAUGGUUGUCGUCAGCUCGGGUCGUGAGAUGUUGGGUUAAGUCCCGCAACGAGCGCAACCCUUAUUGUUAGUUGCCAUCAUUAAGUUGGGCACUCUAGCGAGACUGCCGGUAAUAAACCGGAGGAAGGUGGGGAUGACGUCAAAUCAUCAUGCCCCUUAUGACCUGGGCUACACACGUGCUACAAUGGUCGGUACAAUGAGUUGCGAGCCGGUGACGGCAAGCUAAUCUCUGAAAGCCGAUCUCAGUUCGGAUUGGAGGCUGCAACUCGCCUCCAUGAAGUCGGAAUCGCUANCAAUCGCGGAUCAGCACGCCGCGGUGAAUACGUUCCCGGGCCUUGUACACACCGCCCGUCACACCACGAGAGUUUGUAACACCCGAAGUCGGUGAGGUAACCUUUUAGGGGCCAGCCGCCUAAGGUNGGA